AACAGCAAAUAUGGGUGACUGGUUUAUUCUUUCCAAUUGCUAGUAGCUUGGUUUAGAAUUUUGGUUGUAUUUUGUCUAACAUAAUGCAUUUUAGUCGGUUAGAUGUAUUAUUUGGAUAUAGGUGGUAUUGGAAAAGAACAUUAUCUCAUCUAUUUUUGUUGUCCCAUUUAAAUGGGUCAGUGAACCUUUUUAUUUUUAUUUUUUAUUUCUUCUCUAAUUAACUUGAUUUCUUGCUAAAUCUGAAUCAAGCAAAUAUUUCAAUUAGUACUUCUUUGAUUUUUCUUUAUGAUACCUCAAAUAUUUCUAUUAUUAGUGUGAAAUUUCUUCGCUACCCAUUUCUGACUUUAUACAGAUCCAUUUUGUUACAGAAUAGUUCUUAUUAUAAACUUAUGAAAGCUGGUCAAGCAUAAUGAUCAUACCAAGGAAAAUUAUGGAAAUGCAAAUGCUUAAUUGCAAGUUAGUCUUGCAGUGUGUUGAGAGAAGUUGGAUCAGGUUGCGGUUGAUCUCUGUGACUUGUGGAUCAUUGGAGAUGUUGCUUUGGGCCUUGGUCGGUAUUCCCAGAGGUCCACACACCAUUUUAUGUUUUGAAGAUUGAUCUUAGUGAUUUGAGCUGACAUGUUACCAUUGCACGUUUCAUGAACCGGUGGUCUUUGGGCCGACUUGAUUGAGUUGAAAUUAUUUGUGGAUGGUAUAAAUGGAAGAUGGUGAAUCAUUUGAGAAGAGAGAAGUUAGAAGAUCGAGGAUAGAUUUUUGAGAUCGAGCGAAGAUGUAGAUCCGGCAAGAUUCUGAACCGGUAGGACUGAGGCUGGAAGGCUGAGGUUCAGGUUAGGGUAGAACCGGCAGACUAUUUCCGGAAGCUGAUAUGAUAUGUGGAUGAUCUGCAGGUCUUGUAUUUAUGUUGUAAGCAUCAUUUGUAUCCUGUACUGCAAUCCAACAUGUGGCAUGUGUAAGUCUUCAGAUUGUAAUAAGAUUUAUUCAAACUAUUUACUGGUUUUUGCA